rnacentral:rRNA from 1 species
GACGAACGCUGGCGGCGUGCUUAACACAUGCAAGUCGAACGGAAAGGCCCUGCUUUUGUGGGGUGCUCGAGUGGCGAACGGGUGAGUAACACGUGAGUAACCUGCCCUUGACUUUGGGAUAAAUUCAGGAAACUGGGGCUAAUACCGGAUAGGAGCUCCUGCUGCAUGGCGGGGGUUGGAAAGUUUCGGCGGUUGGGGAUGGACUCGCGGCUUAUCAGCUUGGUGGUGGGGUAGUGGCUUACCAAGGCUUUGACGGGUAGCCGGCCUGGGAGGGUGACCGGCCACAUUGGGACUGAGAUGCGGCCCAGACUCCUACGGGAGGCAGCAGUGGGGAAUAUUGCACAAUGGGCGGAAGCCUGAUGCAGCAACGCCGCGUGCGGGAUGACGGCCUUCGGGUUGUAAACCGCUUUCGCCUGUGACGAAGCGUGAGUGACGGUAAUGGGUAAAGAAGCACCGGCUAACUACGUG